rnacentral:rRNA from 1 species
UACGGAGGGUGCGAGCGUUGUCCGGAAUCACUGGGCGUAAAGGGCGCGUAGGUGGCUUCUCAAGCGCGCGGUGAAAGCCCGGGGCUCAACCCCGGGUCGGCCGUGCGGACUGGGAGGCUCGAGCACUGUAGGGGCGGGUGGAAUUCCGGGUGUAGCGGUGGAAUGCGUAGAUAUUCGGAGGAACACCAGUGGCGAAGGCGGCUCACUGGUCCGGUACUGACGCUGAGGUGCGAAAGCGUGGGGAGCAAACAGG